AUACCCCGUGAUGUUCAGGUCCGCCGCAUCUCCUGGGUCAUGGGGUCGGUCGAUCAGAGCGCUCGGUCAAACGUGGAUCCUCGUACCACGUCGAGCGCCUGAUCGACCCCUUU
rnacentral:sRNA from 1 species